UACGGGGGGGGCAAGCGUUGUUCGGAAUUACUGGGCGUAAAGGGCUCGUAGGCGGCCAACUAAGUCGGAUGUGAAAUCCCCAGGCUUAACCUGGGAACUGCAUCCGAUACUGGAUGGCUUGAAUCCGGGAGAGGGAUGCAGAAUUCCAGGUGUAGCGGUGAAAUGCGUAGAGAUUGGGAAGAACAUCAGUGGCGAAAGCGGUCUGCUGGACCUCUUCUGACGCUGAGGCGCGAAAGCCAGGGGAGCGAACGGG
rnacentral:rRNA from 1 species